rnacentral:rRNA from 1 species
UACGUAGGAUGCGAGCGUUGUCCGGAAUCAUUGGGCGUAAAGCGCGUGUAGGCGGUCCGGUAAGUCUGGUGUGAAAACUUGAGGCUCAACCUCAAGCUGUCAUCGGAUACUGUCGGACUUGAGUCCGGAAGAGGAGAGUGGAAUUCCUGGUGUAGCGGUGGAAUGCGCAGAUAUCAGGAGGAACACCUAUUGCGAAGGCAGCUCUCUGGUACGUGACUGACGCUGAGACGCGAAAGCGUGGGGAGCGAACAGG